rnacentral:rRNA from 1 species
GGGUGAGUAACACGUGGGUAACCUGCCCAUCAGAAGGGGAUAACACUUGGAAACAGGUGCUAAUACCGUAUAACAAUCGAAACCGCAUGGUUUCGGUUUGAAAGGCGCUUUUGCGUCACUGAUGGAUGGACCCGCGGUGCAUUAGCUAGUUGGUGAGGUAACGGCUCACCAAGGCAACGAUGCAUAGCCAACCUGAGAGGGUGAUCGGCCACAUUGGGACUGAGACACGGCCCAAACUCCUACGGGAGGCAGCAGUAGGGAAUCUUCGGCAAUGGACGCAAGUCUGACCGAGCAACGCCGCGUGAGUGAAGAAGGUUUUCGGAUCGUAAAACUCUGUUGUUAGAGAAGAACAAGGAUGAGAGUAAAAUGUUCAUCCCUUGACGGUAUCUAACCAGAAAGCCACGGCUAACUACGUGCCACCAGCCGCGGUAAUACGUAGGUGGCAAGCGUUGUCCGGAUUUAUUGGGCGUAAAGCGAGCGCAGGCGGUUUCUUAAGUCUGAUGUG